UUACAAUUAAAAAUUUCAUUAUAUUAUACAUGAUUUAUAAAACAAGUAAAAAUUAAACAACGACGAAUCGCGCGUAACGAUAUAUCUAUCUUCAAUUCCCCUUUCUAAAUUCAAAAAACGAAACCACUGAUUCCACAUCGUCAUCAUCGAUACCGUCACACUCGAAAUGAUCGCGUGGGAUUGCGAUUCGAAUGAAUCGCGAAAGAAAAUCGCAAUCGUCGCCGCUCUCACCGACGUUCUCCUAAUAAGAGGGUGUUCGGGGGUGUAAGUCUAAUAUUAUGUAAUAGGGGCCACGUGGCAGCCGUUCGGUCCCCCGGAAUCGAAUUCGGUCAGACCUCGGGUCUCCGCUGUGUCGAUUGUCGUAGGAGAAAGGAAACGUAGCCGCCCGUAUUCCGCAUAGCUACGUUGGGUUUCAUCCCUCUCGAGUCAACGUUCACAAUGAACUGCACCCCGCGGCAGCGGCAGCCAGUAUUCAGCCUUUAAUCCGAUUAUUCCUUUCGAAUCAACGAGCACCACGUUUCGUUCCCGGAUCCGUGUGCCCACUUACCGAACCGAUGUUCGACCUGCGCGCGUGUAAUACGGGCGAGAAAGAAACGUGCCGCGCGGAAAAAAUCCGUGUAAUCGGUUACAUCUCGAUCAGAGAGACGAACCUUUCUUUUAUUUACAUUUCACCACGUAGGCUGGCUAGAUUCGUUAGGAUACGAUUGCUUUUUCGAGCGAAAAUUGUCGAAUAGGAUUUUUUUCGGAUAUCGAACCUAUUAAGAAUUUAAAGAAAAUUUUCAAGGUUCAAGAACGAUACCAAAAUACUCCAAUGCAUUCCAAUAGAAGUAUAAUAAUCUCUCGAGUGACAAUUAAAUCACCCCUUCAAUGACCAUCGCGUUUCACCUUCGAAUUGAGUCGUUCGUAAACGAUCUUCCGCAGAUCGGAGAAGGGAAAUACACGACUAUCGAGGAUAAAAUAAACGAAGCGAUGCGAGCGUGUAAUGGCAACGUGGGUCGCUCAAGAGGAAAGAAAUCGGUUCGGCCGUGAAACCGCGUCCACUCUCUUUCAUUGGACUUUGGUACUACGUAGUCGCGGAGACGAUGGAGCAUCCAGGACGAAGGAGCAUAAAUGGAUUAGAAGGGUCCUGCCGGAUGACUAAGUUUUAGCCAGGGCAGCGCCGGCGCCAAAUCCAAUUUGAUCUUAACGUUAACUCGAUCCCGCGUACGGUUACACGGUGAAUUAAACGUCGUUGACAACGUGGAGAUAUCCUCAUCUCAACGCAUGGGAUGUAACGAGAUACAAAUAUUUAUUGCCAUCCAUAUCAAUCAAGUUCCGACAUCCAUUUCAACAACCUUGUGGGACAUCAAAGCGUUCCCCUGCUUCCGUAUCGUGCUCCUUGAUCAUCCUCGUGCUCAAAGGAGAGCUCUGAAAUCUCGAUGGCGUAUAUACAGAAGCUCGCGUAAUCGCUUCGAAUCCGAUUAUGCAUUAAAGAUCCUGCCGCUGACUUCGCGAUUUCGCGAUGAUCUUCGCGCUUUGUAAACGGCCAGGGAUGUUCCAUCUUUGCCACGUACCCAACUUGAAAAGUUGCUGGAUCCCCACGACUUUCCGUUGGAAAGGACCAGAGCCACGGAAGAUGAUUACGGUGGAGGGUAGACUGGUAAAAUUGGGGAGAACAAGGUGAAUUCGGGUGGCUCGGGUCCGGUUUAUCGAGCUGGAACAACAAGCGGCAAUCAGGCAUAACUCGAUCAUUUCAUUCUUCUACGUCCGUGCUCCGCCCUCGAUCUUCGUGGCCCUUCCUGUGUCGCCCCCGAACUGCUCGCGAUACACACGCGUAGAGGACGAUUCAAAAGUAUGAGGAUGAAGUGGAAAUGGACGUUUGAUAGACUUUGACUUGGCUAAUUGGAAUUUAAUAAUUUGUUUGAUGAAAAUAAUAUGCAAAGUACAUCAGGUGUGAUGAUAACAUGCAUAGAGGACGAUUCAAAAGUAUAAAAUUGAAGUGGAAAUGGACGUUUAAUAAACUUUGGCUAAUUGAAACUUAAUAAUUUAUGUGAUGAAGAUAAUAUGCAAAGUGUGAUGAUAACAUGCGUAGAGGAUGAUUCAAAAGUAUAAAAUUGAAAUGGAAAUGGACGUUUCGUUUGAUAAAGUCUUGUAUGAUAAGAAGACGAUUCAAAAGUAUACGAUUGAAGCAGAAAUGGAUGUUUCCUAUGGUGGAAUUCCUAUGGUCGUAUGGAGAAAUUAGUGAAACGUAGAUAUCAGAUAGCAGAUAUCUUUGUGGAAUAUAUAAUUUUUAAAUAAAAUUAAAUGAACCAUCGAUAAUAAAAUCAAGGAAAUAUUCACUCAGCUUGGAUUUGCAAUGCGCCCCAGCUUUGCACCUUCCUGUACCGCACAACAUUAUUCGGUCCACUUGUCGGCACCCCUCGGCGUGGCAACCCUUACACAGCCACCCUUCCGUAAUCCUGUUACCGAACACGACGGCUUCUACGCACCUACGCAAUCGUCUACCUACCCUCUUUGUUCUUAUAGCCUGGUAAAAAACAAUGGAUGACACGGAUCACGAUUCAGCGAUCGUCGAAACUAACUAAAAAACAAUCUUCCAUAUUUGAGAUUUCUUCUUUACCUUUCUUUUCUUUAAUUUUUUGAAAAGUAAAAAAGAUAUUUUCUCAAAUCUAUAAGAAGAAUAAAAAAAAGAAGAAUCUUAUGAAUUGUAAUAGAAAGUUAAUGAAGAAACGAUCGGUAGAGAAGAAACAUCAAAGAGACCAGUGGAAUUGGAAAUUGCAUGCAAAUCACAAGGAAAGAAGGAGUUUAUUUCUUCCUUUAUCUUGCCUUUAGCUCCCUUCAUUUCCGAUCGCUUCCUUCCUUCCUGUCAAACCAUCCUCGUAGCCGCAAAUUAGCCGCCAACGUCCAAAAGAAAGUUAAAAGAGGGUUUGUUCGCCACAGCCAUUUACAUUUACAACCCCAAUGCUUCGUCUUGCAAUCAUCUGUGUCUAUCUCUUUUUAUACUGUUCAUUCUAACUGCGGAAAUUCGUGAUCGAUCGACCGUAUCGACUGGUAUUUUUCCACCAUGAUAAUUAUUGUCUCCCAAACGACAAGGUAAUUUGCAUGAAUUUACAUCUCGAUUUUUCCUUUCAGCAGUGAUGAAUUUGCUUGAAAGUUCGAUACGAUGCAAAAAUAAUUAUAUUUAUUCAUUUGUUUUAUCAUAUAAUUAUUAUAUAUCAUGCUUCAUCAAAAUAAUUAUAUUUAUUCAUUUAUUUGUUUUAUCAUACAAAGAGAGAAUAAAAAGUAAGAGUGUAUGCGUG